GGAUUGAUCACUGUCCUCCGUGAUGAUCCUUUGAUUGGGAGCAUUUAGAAAUCAACCACUAAUUAAUGUAUGUUUCAAAUUUUUAAUACUCUAAGAAUAUACAAUAAUCAUCUUUGUUAAUUUUUAGAACAAAUCAUAGACACAUAAACAUGAUUGAAAUGAAAAAACUCUUUAUUGAUAAUAAAAAUAUUACAAGUACAAGA
rnacentral:lncRNA from 1 species